GUCGAUUCUCUAUUGGUAAGUAGCCACCACCUAUAUCAGCCAUAUGGGAGGAGGCGCAACAUGAACAGCUUUAUGUCUGCUUACCAAGGUCUCCCCACCUGUGCGUGCCAGUGUUGGGUAUGCUUGUGUCCGACAUAGGCAGGCGCCCGCAGUUGGUGGGCAGCCACUUAAGUGGUCCAUUUACAAACUCAGUGAGGAAAUAUCUCGGGGCUGUUGUAGCCCCUCCUACCCACGAGUCUGAAAUUGCUGAAGAAACAACCACCUGGCCCUGCUGUGAGAUACAGCAGAUUUAUUCCCAGUCAACAAACAGGGCAACUGGAGCAAGGAGUGGGAUUGCCUUCCCCCAAGCCACUCCAGGAAUGUAGAGCGGAACAAGAAGAGGGCCUGUGGCGGAUCCUGAUUCCUUUCUCCAGGAGGUAACCUGCAGCCCUCACACCCUCCCCAGGCACCUUUGGGCUCUCGGUGGCCCUGCUUGGAAAAGUCCCUCCUACUUAGUCCUUCUUUCCCACUAGACGCCCAAACGCUGCUAAUCCCCACAUCGGGCAUCCUCCGCGUCUGGUGAUUUUCCCUGGAGACCUCGUGGUCUCCGCCCACUUUUCAGCAAGAUUUAGUACCAGAAGGCCAUAGUGUGGCGGUGAAGAGAAGUCUUUGCAAAUCUGUGGUUUGGAGAAAGCUGGGUUCAAACAAUUCAGAUCUUCAAGAAUUUGCAGGGGAAAUGAUUUCUGGUAAGAUUGCAAUGAAUGGGCUUUAUCCCGGAGCCAAGUUCACCGAUUGCCUGCCUUUUAACUCUUUCUCUGCUGAUCUUGAUGCCUUGCUGCUUGCGUUGACAGAACCGUUUUGCUGAGGCUGGCCUUGGGCCAAGACAAUGUGGGACAGCUAAGGUCCUGGAACCAGACAGCUAGGGAGCCAAUAUGGCUUCCCACAGCCAGCAGAAUGGCAAGAUGUCCACCUGCAGGGUGAUGCCAUAGCAUUCUUUUCUAGACAAGAGUUCUGAUGGCACGAGAAUCCAGCUCAGCUCUCCCUUUAAGACCAGGGCUGACUACACCUCAGCUACAGCUCUGUCAAGUUAGUGCCUCCCAAAAUCUAGCAGGAAACCCUGCGCCUGCAACACUGAGGAAAAACCUCCAGAUUCAUAGUAUCCUUCUCAGAAGACCAGGGCUGGGAAUGCUGUAUGGAGGGGACAGAAGUAGCCCACCAUUAUUCACAUCGGCCUCAUGCAGGUCUGUAACACUUCCUGAAAUCUGAGCGAAGGGCUUCUUUCUGAAGGAUCCAGUCUUCUUUCACCACCAUAUUGCUGGACCUCACUAGCUUCUUUUCUAUAUCUUAUAUACAUAUCACCCCAGGUCCUCAGUCAUUCACAGAGCAAAAUAACCUCAUAGAUGUGCUCGGACCAUGGACAGGUUGUGCUGGGGUAAUAUUCCAAUGGAUCCUGCCCCUAUCGCACGCUUUCGUCUGAUGAACCUUACUCUUGGGGCAAGGACCAAUGGGGAUCUAUGGUCAGGGUGUCCUGGCGUCACCAGCCACGUUCUGUGAGCACCUGUGUCUAACACUGAGCUUCCUUCCUGCCCCCCACCUCAUCUGAAAGCAUCCUGCUUUAAGAAAACAUCACACAUACAGAUCUUAACCUACAAAUCAGACAAAUUAGGGGAUGAUUCAUAAUAACACCCCUCAGGGUUCCUUUAAAUAGCCCGCCACCCCCAGGGUGAAUUUUUUUUAAAUAUUUAAAAUAUGAUUCGAUUUACAAAAAUUGGAUAUGCACAUUGUAUUUGGAGAGAAUAUCUUAUGAGUAAAGAGCAAGAUCUACGGCAGAGGAAACAGUAGUAGCCUCUCUCUCUUGUCGUACUAUUAGCCAUUUGGAAGUAUCCCCAUAAGUACAAACUGCACACAGCCUUAGAAGCAGCAAUGCCACUACAAGACUUCAAUCCACAAUAGGUUAAAAACAAAGGGAAAUGAUUCAUUUAGAGCAAUGCGUUAUUUAGUCAUUUCAGUCGUGUCUGACUUUUUGUGACUAUUUGAGGUUUUCUUGGCAAAGAUAUUGCAGUGAUUCGCCAUUUCCUUUUACAGCUUAUUUUUUACAGAUGAGAAAACUGAGGCCAACACCAGACAUAAGUGUCUAUUAAGUCUUCCUGACUCAGGCUUCAUGAUCUAUGUACUGUACAACCUAGUUGCCUCCAUUUAUAGCAAUACUUAACUGUAGAGGCAGCUAAGUGGGUCAGUGGAGGUCUGGAGACAGGAAGACCUGUGUUCGAAUGUGACCUCAGACACUUCCUUGCUUUGUGACAGCGGGCAAGUCAUUUAACACCAAUUACCACACUCUUAUCACUUUUCUGCCUUGGACCCUAUGUCUAGUAUUGAUGCUAAAACAGAAGGAGAGAGCUUUUUAGUUAAAAAAAUACUUAACUCUAAGUGCAAAGAACUGGAAUGUGAGGUGGUAUGUAUCAGUUGGAGAGUGGCUGUACAAUUCUCGAAAAUGAAUGUGAUGGAAUAUUACAGCAAGAAAGGAUGGUUUCAAAGAAACCUUGGAAGACCUGUUUGAACUGAAGCAGAAUACCAGGAAAACAAAUGAUUAUAACAUUUGCUAAGAAAAACCAUUUUGAAAGACUUAAGAACUCUUUUCAUUGCUAGGACCAACAUAAACUCUGGACAACCAAUGACAAAUCAUCAUGCCUUCCACUUAGCAGAGAAAUAAUGGAUAUGAAACGUAUUUUUUUGGACAUCUCUGAAUUGUAUUUUUGUUUUGUUUGACAGACCUCAUUUGACGCAAGGGAUUGUUUUUUUCUUUUAACUUCAGUGAAAUAUUUUUUUUUUCCAAAGCAAUAGCAAUAAAGAAAUAAAUUUAUUAAAAACUGAAUCUUAU
rnacentral:lncRNA from 1 species